UGGGGAAUAUUGGACAAUGGGCGAAAGCCUGAUCCAGCCAUGCCGCGUGAGUGAUGAAGGCCUUAGGGUUGUAAAGCUCUUUUACCAGGGAAGAUGAUGACGGUACCUGGAGAAUAAGCACCGGCUAACUUCGUGCCAGCAGCCGCGGUAAUACGAAGGGUGCUAGCGUUGUUCGGAAUUACUGGGCGUAAAGCGCGCGUAGGCGGCUCUUCAAGUCAGGGGUGAAAUCCUUGGGCUCAACCCAAGAAUUGCCCUUGAAACUGUAGAGCUUGAGUGUCGGAGGGGAUAGCGGAAUUCCUAAUGUAGAGGUGAAAUUCGUAGAUAUUAGGAGGAACACCGGUGGCGAAGGCGGCUAUCUGGACGACAACUGACGCUGAGGCGCGAAAGCGCGGGGAUCAAACAGG
rnacentral:rRNA from 1 species